AAAACACCAAUUCUCAUUGGAUCACUGAAGUUAAGCAGUGUCAAGCAUGGUCAGUAUUUAGAUGGGGGACCACAUGGGAAUAGCAGGAACUA